rnacentral:rRNA from 1 species
UACGUAGGGGGCUAGCGUUGUCCGGAUUUCUUGGGCGUAAAGAGCGUGUAGGCGGCCAGGUAGGUCUGCUGUGAAAACUCGAGGCUUAACCUCGAGAUGUCGGUGGAAACCAUCUGGCUAGAGUCCGGAAGAGGAGAGUGGAAUUCCUGGUGUAGCGGUGAAAUGCGCAGAUAUCAGGAGGAACACCGGUGGCGAAGGCGGAUCUCUGGGCCUGUUCUGACGCUGAGGCGCGAAAGCUAGGGGAGCGAACAGG